rnacentral:lncRNA from 1 species
GAUUUUGGGGCCAUUUUCAUCCCAAUUUUGGGGCCAUUUUCAUCCCAAUUUUGGGGCCAUUUUCAUCCCAAUUUUGGGGCCAUUUUCAAUGGGAUUUUGGGUCCAAUCUCAGCGAUUUUGGGGCCAUUUUCAGUGGGAUUUUGGGGCCAUUUUCAAUGGGAUUUUGGGGCCAUUUUCAUCCCAAUUUUGGGGCCAUUUUCAAUGGGAUUUUGGUGCCAUUUUCAAAGGGAUUUUGGGGCCAAUCUCAGCGAUUUUGGGGCCAUUUUCAUCCCAAUUUUGGGGCCAUUUUCAUCCCAAUUUUGGGGCCAUUUUCAAUGGGAUUUUGGUGCUAUUUUCAAUGGGAUUUUGGCCAUUUUUGCCACAAUUUGGGGCCAAUUGUGAGCGGACCGGUGCCCCUCACCGCAGGGCGCGGCUCAGCUUGUCGUAGUUCAUGUGGGGCUUGCACUUGCGCGCGCCCCACAGCCGCGCCACCUCGUCGGGGUCCUUGAUGACGAACUCGCCGUAGUCGCCCUGCCAGGCGAUGACGUGCCGGUAGCGCUCCUGGCGCAGCAGCUCCAGGAUGAAGUGCCACAGCUGGAUCUGCCGCGAGCCGGGGCUCGACUCCGCCUUGUACGCCCACUCCGGGAACGCCAGCCCUAUGGGGAGGGCAGAUGUGGGGCUG